UAAAAAGGUAAAAUAUAUGAAAGUCAGAUAUUUUUUAGCAGCUUUCAAAGUUUCAAGUAAAUAAUUACUACUUUAAAAUUUACAUUACACAUGAGCAUUACCUACUAAUAUAAAUCUUGAAAAACUCAUUAAUAAUUCAUUAAAAAUUUUAAAAUAUCCGCAGACGGAUCCAGUUUCCUACUACAUAAUUUGUGGAAAUUAGAAUUAUUUAAAAUUUUAUGUAGAGUAGAAGCACCAAUUUUGGACACUUCAUGUUAAUAUAGAGAGAAUAUAAAAAUAUUAUUACUGUAAUAAAAGUAAUUGAUGUAUCUCUUAAUAUUAUUCGUUGCCGUGACUAUAGUAAAAUGUAAAGUUAUAAAAUAACGGUAAUUUAGAACAAUGUUUGUAGAAUGUAACGCUGUUGAUUUUUAACUUUUAUUCUACAAACAUUGCUCUGAAUUACCGUUACUUUAUAAGUCGGUAUUUAAUUAAAUACGACAAAAACUUUUGUAAAGUUUUUGCGUAUCGUAUAAAUCACAUCAGAAUUCUUUGAGUGUCCAGAACCGGUAAAUCCUUCGCUCUUUUACUCUUGUGUAUAAGAAAAAUUCAUAAUGCAUUUCCUAGGUCAGUGGAAUGAAUUGAACAAAAAAUAUACAGGAUACCGAGCCGUAAAUAAUAUAAAUAAACUAAUAUUUUACAGAAUUACGAUGCCAAUACUUUCAUAUUCAAAUAAAAAUAGCCAAUAGUAUCGCUAAUGCCAUAAAAAAGUAUAUGAAUUUAUAUAUAUAUAAAUGUCUACCAUUAGAGUAUUUUUUCCCAAACAAUAGGUAUAACAAUUACAACUAUAAAGAUAAAUAAAUAAUUGUAAUAAUGAAAAAAUAAUGAAAUAUAAUCAAACUAAAUGACGAACUAGUCAAUUUACAAUUGAUACGUAAAAGUAUUAAUAAUUUAUUUUUUCAUUAAUUUCAUAUAAUUUGUAAAAGUUAAAGUUAUGUCAUUUUUUUUAAUUUGCGAGUUACCAUUAAAAAAUUGUUAUUUUGAUUUUUUUAAAAGAUUAGAUUUUUUAUAUUGCAACCAAUGCAAAUGUUUAAGGAAAAUUAAAUAAUGUAAUGUGUAAAUUUAUCUUAACUACACGGUGUAAUUAUUCUUGUUUGAAACGCUAUGGUGUCGUGGUAAAGCCGGAGCAUGUGGGCCAACUGAUGGAAAUGUAAAUAAACCCAUAGAAAAAUUAUUGUAAUCAUUGAAAAGUUUACGGUAGCCACAGUAAUUUUUCUAUGGGUUUAUUUAAAUUUUCGUAAUGUGACCAACAUGGACCGACUUUAUACCAUAGAGGCGUAGGUUCAAAUCCCACUGGAGCCGAAAGAAAUCUUUACACACAAAGUGUGAAGUCUUUCGAUCCUGAGAUUCGACCCGUCAUCGACCUUUAGAAUUAGAUCUGGUUUGUAAAGUGAAUUUGAUGUGGGUUGAAGAUUUGAGUUUGAGUUUGAAUCCGACUGUUGGCUGGACAUGAGAUUGUCAGAGGCAUAAUAAUAUAUAUAUUUAUAUAUAUCAUAAAAAAAAAAAAAAAGUAAUAUCAUAGUAUUUCAAACAGGAAUAAUGUCUCCGUGUAAAAACAUGUAAACCAGAAGACUGAAGAUACUAUUAUAAUGCUUGCAAGUUUUAAUAUAGAUUAGAUACAAAGAAAAAAAAUUGUCUAGUAGAAAUUUUCGAGUACUGCGUAACGAUUUUGACUGAAAUUAUUUUUAUUUAUUAUUGUUAUUGUAAUUAUUACUUUAGUCCUAAUUGCCAGCAAAAGAUCUCCAAACUUUUCCGAUUUAAGGUCAUUCCUAGAUGAUGUCUCCACUUUUUCAAUCAAUCAAAUGAUCCCUCAUAAAAAAAAAUAAAAGGAAUUGUUAAAAAAAAGAUGGUGUGGCUUAAAUUUUGAUAUAUAUUUUUGAAAAAAUAAUUGUGUUGAAUCUUAACGAAAUUUGUUGAAAGCCUAGAAAGUUUGACAUUUCGAAUUGCAAAUAUACCCGGAAAAUUUUGAUGCAAUUAAUAAAUAUAUCGAAUGAUAUUUAAUAGAAAAAGUUGGAAGCAACAUCUAAGAAUGUCCUUAAAAAAAAAACAUUCAUAAAAAAAGUAUAUAAAAAUAAAAUUUUCAUUCUUUUACUUGAUACCUGAUCUGGGGACUGUGAUUCGGCAGUUUUGCGCUUAAUCUAUCUAUAAAUAUGUGCCUACAAAAGGUAUUACAAAAAGCCAAUGGCGAUUGCCAAAAAAAAGUAAAAAAUAAAAAUAAACAAAAACCUUAAGAACAAAAAAUAGUUGAACACUUUAACGAAUUUAAAAAAGUUAACGAAUCAAAUAAUUAUCUAUUUUUAUUUACAACAGACUAGUUAUAUAUUUUUUCAGCUUGUUUAUUUAUUGUAAGCCCACCGACUUUUAUAUAUUUUUUUUUUUACUUAACUAAUUUUUUUCUUAUUAAUUUAUAUUUUUUUUUAUUAUAAAAGUCUGAUAGACAUAAGAUCAAAGUAUUAAGAGUGUGAUGUGUGUAUAGUAUAUAUGUAACUAAUUAAUUAGUUAAUAAGAUUUUUUGUUUAAUUUAUUAAUUAAAGAAGCCUUGAACGGCAAAUCAGGACAUGAAUUUUGGAUUUUUAUUUUUCAUUAUCAACAUUUAU